CUACAUAUCAUAUUCAUAGGGUUUCUGCAUUUUACCAUGUCUAUAAAAGGGUCUAAAAUCAACAACACAUAGAAAGCAUGUCUGUAGGAGCUAUUAAUCGAAUCUGAAUCGUUUCAUUCACGAAUAAGGCUAAAACACUAACAACAAUGUAUCUUCAUUUUGUAGAACUUGUAAAUAUUUUGCUAAAAAUUCCAUUUUCUUUAAUAAUCUGGCAACCCUUUAAUUAGUAUGUAUUAAGUUUAUUUCAUUGUUCUAGGAAAUCAGUAGAUAUCAUGCCUAUAGGAUCUUCGUCUAACACUUAGGAAAGCCUUAGGGUAAAAAUUAUAAACUGAAUCUGUUUAUUAACUACAACCAGUAGACAUGCUUGAUUGAGGCUUCUUAUCUGAAUUAUGUAAUAAAUCAGUCUGCCUCAACCUUUAAGUUCUUUCACAUUCAAUAUUAAAUUAGACCCUAAACAGUAUGUGCAAGUCAUGCUAACUAUGCGUUUCUUUGAUUGAAGGAGGAUAACUGAGCCUUUUUUACUUGUUAUAUGCUCCUCCCCAACUUGGUAUACAUGUUUUGUAUGUUGCCUUAGAAUUUUACCUUUGAAACUCCAAACAAACCUAAAAUCCCUCCAUGUUAGGAUUAAUAGUCUUCAUACCUCCGGGACUGAUAGGAUUGGGGCGGGUAAUAGUAUGCAAUAAGUAACGAGACCAUUCCGCGCUUUAAUACCUUAAACAGGGUAGGAAAGGAUAGAUAUGAAUAUGAUGACCACGCAAUAACAUCACGUGUAGCCCCUCACUGAGGAGUUAUUAUUGGAUGUUGUGUGGGAUGAUCCACAUUAUUAGUAAAUCUAGGAGCCCCCUUCCUUUGUUUCUUUGGUUCUUUAAAAUUUUUAAAAUUAUUUCUUUCUUUAAUUCUUUCCAACUUUUUUUAUUUGUAACCAUUACGUGAAAAUCCCCUUCUUAUUUAAAGUUCUUACUUGCCUACAUGUUAUUUGUACCUAAAGUCACAACAAUGGUUUGGCCGAGAACCACACUAGUGGAUCCUGAGGAGUGCCUAAUACCUUUCCCUUAGGAUAAUUUCAAGCCCUUACCCAAUCUCUGGUUACUCAAAUCAAAACCCUUCUUAGUGUCCUAAUGCAUUUAAAUCAUUAGGUGGCGACUCUUAAAUUCAAACCAAAAUCGCAAAAGGGAACAAGUUGUCCUCCCAAAUGUCAUAAACUCGAUUUGCGAGAAAAAGGGGGCGGGACAGCAUGGAGACUCCUCUGGGGAAAUCCCUUAGGCUUUUACCAUUUCAGGCUAUUAUUGUGACUUUACGCUACUUUAUAUAUUUUUAUUCCUUUAAGUAUUUAAUUCCCU
rnacentral:lncRNA from 1 species